UACGUAGGGUGCAAGCGUUAAUCGGAAUUACUGGGCGUAAAGCGUGCGCAGGCGGCUUUGCAAGACAGAUGUGAAAUCCCCGGGCUCAACCUGGGAACUGCAUUUGUGACUGCACGGCUGGAGUGCGGCAGAGGGGGAUGGAAUUCCGCGUGUAGCAGUGAAAUGCGUAGAUAUCGGGAGGAACACCAGUGGCGAAGGCGGUUGCCUGGAGCUUUGCUGACGCUGAGGCGCGAAAGCGUGGGGAGCGAUCCGG
rnacentral:rRNA from 1 species